CCCCUAGAUGUUCUGGGCCGCACGCGCGCUACACUGAACAGUUCAACAAGUCUUAACCUUGGCCGAUAGGUGUGGGUAAUCUUUGAACGCUGUUCGUGAUUGGGAUAGACCUUUGCAAUUAUGGGUCUUCAACGAGGAAUUCCUAGUAAACGCAAGUCAUCAGCUUGCAUUGAUUACGUCCCUGCCCUUUGUACACACCGCCCGUCGCACCUACCGAUUGAAUGGUCCGGUGAAAUCUCGGGACGGCGGCUUGGUCGCUUGCGUCCGACUGCUGAAACUUGAUUAAACCAUAUCAUUUAGAGGAAGGUGAAGUCGUAACA
rnacentral:rRNA from 1 species